AUGGGAGCGAGCACGUCUGGCCCUGCUGGGAGCGAGCACGUCUGGCCAUGGUGGGGGCGAGUACGUACGCCGUGGAAACUGACAAGCUCUUCGCUUGAGGACUUGAACCGAUUUGAAUUGUUGAGAGCUGGUUUACCAGCAAGCCACUGGUUUCGGGAGACUAUAGAGCUUCAAGACACUGAAGACCUUCUCGCAUCUCCACAGAAGGCCCUUGUGCAUGGUCGGUGGUUCAGCUGA
rnacentral:lncRNA from 1 species